AUUUUGGACAAUGGGCGCAAGCCUGAUCCAGCUAUUCCGCGUGUGGGAUGAAGGCCCUCGGGUUGUAAACCACUUUUGUAGAGAACGANAAGACACCUUCGAAUAAAGGGUGUUGCUGACGGUACUCUAAGAAUAAGCACCGGCUAACUACGCGCCAGCAGCCGCGGUAAUACGUAGGGUGCGAGCGUUAAUCGGAAUUACUGGGCGUAAAGGGUGCGCAGGCGGUUGAGUAAGACACAUGUGAAAUCCCCGAGCUUAACUCGGGAAUGGCAUAUGUGACUGCUCGACUAGAGUGUGUCAGAGGGAGGCGGAAUUCCACGCGUAGCAGUGAAAUGCGUAGAUAUGUGGAAGAACACCGAUGGCGAAGGCAGCCUCCUGGGACAUAACUGACGCUCAGGCACGAAAGCGUGGGGAGCAAACAG
rnacentral:rRNA from 1 species